rnacentral:misc_RNA from 1 species
AACGCACAUUGCGCCCUUUGGUAUUCCGAAGGGCAUGCCUGUUCGAGCGUCAUUAUCACCCCUCAAGCCCCCGGCUUGGUGUUGGAUGGUUUGGUGACAGAGCCCUUGGGCCACGGUCACCCCUCCCAAAGACAAUGACGGCGGCCUCGUUGGACCCCCGGUACACUGAGUUCUUCACCGAACACGUACUGGAUCAAGGGCCCGCGGAGCACGGUCUGGCUCCCCUCAGGGAGAACUUUUUUCUCAAGGUUGACCUCGGAUCAGGUAGGAAUACCCGCUGAACUUAA